CAAAAGCACUGCAGUUUCUAAAAGAGCUUGAUCUGACAAACAAUAUGAUUGGAGACUCAAAGCAGCAGCUCAUUGAUGUGCUACGAGGCUCAAACUGUAAACUAAAACAGGACCGUGAACAGGCUUUGUUUAGAGCUGCUACAAAGCACACUGGUAGGCAAUUUACAUCCUGGUCUAAAUCUUAGAAACCUGUGAAAUGAAAAGGAGCUUCAUUAUCAGGUGGAGCAGUGAAGUGAAGAGUCAAUCGUCAGAACAGAGCGGAUUCUAAAUAUCAAAAAAAAAAAAAAAAAUUAUAU